GAGAGGGCUAUAAAGAACUGCUAAUUCAUAAACCUGACACUAACCAUUCAGACCUUUCA
rnacentral:tRNA from 1 species